rnacentral:rRNA from 1 species
AAUACCGGAUAUGACCAGUCCUCGCAUGAGGUGCUGGUGGAAAGAAAUUUUUAUCGGUCUUGGAUGGACUCGCGGCCUAUCAGCUAGACGGUGAGGUAACGGCUCAUCGUGGCGAUGACGGGUAGCCGGCCUGAGAGGGUGACUCGGCCACACUGGGACUGAGACACGGCCCAGACUCCUACGGGAGGCAGCAGUGGGGAAUAUUGCACAAUGGGUGCGCAAGCCUGAUGCAGCGACGCCGCGUGCGGGAUGACGGCCUUCGGGUUGUGGUAAUACGUAGGGCGCGAGCGUUAUCCGGAAUUAUUGGGCGUAAAGAGCUCGUAGGCGGCUUGUCGCGUCUGCUGUGAAAGCCCGGGGCUUAACCCCGGGUGUGCAGUGGGUACGGGCAGGCUAGAGUGCAGUAGGGGAGACUGGAAUUCCUGGUGUAGCGGUGAAAUGCGCAGAUAUCAGGAGGAACACCGAUGGCGAAGGCAGGUCUCUGGGCUGUUUACUGACGCUGAGGAGCGAAAGCAUGGGGAGCGAACAGGAUUAGAUACCCUGGUAGUCCAUGCCGUAAACGUUGGGCACUAGGUGUGGGGGACAUUCCACGUUUUCCGCGCCGUAGCUAACGCAUUAAGUGCCCCGCCUGGGGAGUACGGCCGCAAGGCUAAAACUCAAAGGAAUUGACGGGGGCCCGCACAAGCGGCGGAGCAUGCGGAUUUAAUUCGACGCAACGCGAAGAACCUUACCAAGGCUUGACAUGGACCGGAUCGCUGCAGAGAUGUAGUUUCCCUUCGGGGCUGGUUCACAGGUGGUGCAUGGUUGUCGUCAGCUCGUGUCGUGAGAUGUUGGGUUAAGUCCGCCGCAACGAGCGCAACCCUUGUCCUAUGUUGCCAGCACGUAAUGGUGGGGACUCAUGGGAGACUGCCGGGGUCAACUCGGAGGAAGGUGGGGAUGACGUCAAAUCAUCAUGCCCCUUAUGUCUUGGGCUUCACGCAUGCUGUACAAUGGCCGGUACAGUGGGUUGCGAUACUGUGAGGUGGAGCUAAUCCCUAAAAGCCGGUCUCAGUUCGGAUCGAAGUCUGCAACUCGACUUCGUGAAGUUGGAGUCGCUAGUAAUCGCAGAUCAGCAACGCUGCGGUGAAUACGUUCCCGGGCCUUGUACACACCGCCCGUCAAGUCACGAAAGUUGGUAACACCCGAAGCCCACGGCC